CAAUAGCGUAUAUUAAAGUUGUUGCGGUUAAAAAGCUCGUAGUUGGAUUUCUGCCGAGGACGACCGGUCCGCCCUCUGGGUGAGUAUCUGGCUCGGCCUGGGCAUCUUCUUGGAGAACGUAGCUGCACUUGACUGUGUGGUGCGGUAUCCAGGACUUUUACUUUGAGGAAAUUAGAGUGUUUCAAGCAGGCUUACGCCUUGAAUACAUUAGCAUGGAAUAAUAAGAUAGGACCUCGGUUCUAUUUUGUUGGUUUCUAGAGCUGAGGUAAUGAUUAAUAGGGAUAGUUGGGGGCAUUCGUAUUUAACUGUCAGAGGUGAAAUUCUUGGAUUUGUUAAAGACGGACUACUGCGAGAGCAUUUGCCAAGGAUGUUUUCAUUGA
rnacentral:rRNA from 1 species